rnacentral:rRNA from 1 species
AUACGUAGGGGGCGAGCGUUGUCCGGAAUGAUUGGGCGUAAAGGGCGCGUAGGCGGCCCGGUAAGUCUGGAGUGAAAGUCCUGUUUUUAAGAUGGGAAUUGCUUUGGAUACUGUCGGGCUUGAGUGCAGGAGAGGUAAGUGGAAUUCCCAGUGUAGCGGUGAAAUGCGUAGAGAUUGGGAGGAACACCAGUGGCGAAGGCGACUUACUGGACUGUAACUGACGCUGAGGCGCGAAAGUGUGGGGAGCAAACAGGAUUAGAUACCCGGGUAGUCCACACUGUAAACGAUGAAUGCUAGGUGUAGGGGGUAUCGACCCCUUCUGUGCCGCAGUCAACACAAUAAGCAUUCCGCCUGGGGAGUACGGCCGCAAGGUUGAAACUCAAAUGAAUUGACGGGG